rnacentral:rRNA from 1 species
AUUGAACGCUGGCGGCGUGCUUAACACAUGCAAGUCGAACGCGAAAGUGGCUUCGGCCACGAGUAGAGUGGCGCACGGGUGAGUAACGCGUGGAUAAUCUGCCUCUGCAAUCGGAAUAACGACUGGAAACGGUCGCUAAUACCGGAUACGCUUAAGUUUUACCUCUUAAGGAAAGAUGACCUCUAUUUAUAAGUUAUCGUGCAGAGAUGAGUCCGCGUCCCAUUAGCUUGUUGGCGGGGUAACGGCCCACCAAGGCGACGAUGGGUAGCCGAUUUAAGAGGAUGAUCGGCCACAUUGGAACUGAAACACGGUCCAAACUCCUACGGGAGGCAGCAGUGGGGAAUAUUGCGCAAUGGGCGAAAGCCUGACGCAGCGACGCCGCGUGAGGGAUGAAGGUCUUCGGAUCGUAAACCUCUGUCAGAAGGGAAAAAUGUACAGUGCCCCAAUCAACACUGUAUUGAUGGUACCUUCAGAGGAAGCACCGGCUAACUCCGUG